rnacentral:tmRNA from 1 species
GGGGGUGACUGGUUUCGACUUGGGACGGUAGUUCCAGGAGAAGCGGGCCGAGAAGCUUGGGUCAACUCGUAAAUGUUCCCAGGAAAACAAUAAGUGCCAACUCUGUUCGCACCGACUUCGCUCUCGCUGCCUGAUCAGCGAUCGAAGGGUCAGUCCGGGCGUGUUCUCCGUCCGGUUCCUGGCCUAAUCUAGAGAACUAGCUGUGCCACCUGGGCUGCAGGGGUGGUGCGGGACUUAACUGCCGCUGGGCUUGUUCAUCACGUGCCGUAUCGAGGAUGAGAGCCGAGUAGAACGCUCAUAGGGAUGCGCCCGGAGAAUGUCUGGUUCGCCGCUUGAGGACGCGGGUUCGACUCCCGCCACCUCCACCC